UUUAUGGAGAGUUUGAUCCUGGCUCAGGAUGAACGCUGGCGGCGUGCCUAAUACAUGCAAGUCGAGCGAACAGAUAAGGAGCUUGCUCCUUUGACGUUAGCG
rnacentral:rRNA from 1 species